rnacentral:rRNA from 1 species
ACGCUGGCGGCACGCCUAACACAUGCAAGUCGAACGAAGUAGCAAUACUUAGUGGCAGACGGGUGAGUAACAUGUGGGUAUCUGCCCUUUGGCCUGGAAUAACACGAGGAAACUUGUGCUAAUACCGGAUAAGUCUUUACGGAGAAAGCUUUAUGCACCAUUGGAUGAGCCUGCACUUGAUUAGUUUGUUGGUGGGGUAAUGGCCUACCAAGACUGUGAUCAAUAGCUGAUUUGAGAGGAUGAUCAGCCACAUUGGGACUGAGACACGGCCCAAACUCCUACGGGAGGCAGCAGUGGGGAAUCUUGCACAAUGGAGGAAACUCUGAUGCAGCGAUGCCGCGUGAGUGAAGAAGGCCCUUGGGUUGUAAAGCUCUUUCGUCGGGGAAGAAAAUGACUGUACCCGAAUAAGAAGGUCCGGCUAACUUCGUGCCAGCAGCCGCGGUAAUACGAAGGGACCUAGCGUAGUUCGGAAUUACUGGGCUUAAAGAGUUCGUAGGUGGUUGAAAAAGUUAGUGGUGAAAUCCCAGAGCUUAACUCUGGAACUGCCAUUAAAACUUUUCAGCUAGAGUAUGAUAGAGGAAAGCAGAAUUUCUAGUGUAGAGGUGAAAUUCGUAGAUAUUAGAAAGAAUACCAAUUGCGAAGGCAGCUUUCUGGAUCAUUACUGACACUGAGGAACGAAAGCAUGGGUAGCGAAGAGGAUUAGAUACCCUCGUAGUCCAUGCCGUAAACGAUGUGUGUUAGACGUUGGAAAUUUAUUUUCAGUGUCGCAGCGAAAGCGAUAAACACACCGCCUGGGGAGUACGACCGCAAGGUUAAAACUCAAAUGAAUUGACGGGGACCCGCACAAGUAGUGGAGCAUGUGGUUUAAUUCGAAGAUACGCGCAGAACCUUACCAACACUUGACAUGUUCGUCGCGACUCUAAGAGAUUAGAGUUUUCGGUUCGGCCGGACGAAACACAGGUGCUGCAUGGCUGUCGUCAGCUCGUGUCGUGAGAUGUUGGGUUAAGUCCCGCAACGAGCGCAACCCUCACUUUUAGUUGCCAUCAUUAAGUUGGGCACUCUGAAAGAACUGCCAGUGAUAAGCUGGAGGAAGGUGGGGAUGACGUCAAGUCCUCAUGGCCCUUACGUGUUGGGCUACACACGUGCUACAAUGGUAUCUACAACAGGAAGCAAGACUGCGAAGUUAAGCAAAUCCCUAAAAGAUACCUCAGUUCGGAUUGCACUCUGCAACUCGAGUGCAUGAAGCUGGAAUUACUAGUAAUCGUGGAUCAGCGUGCCACGGUGAAUGCGUUCCCGGGUCUUGUACACACCGCC